rnacentral:SRP_RNA from 1 species
UCAUCCAGAACCGAAGACUGGGACUACUCCUCCGCAUCCUGCAGGUGGCCGCCCUGGCCUGGAACAUCUACAGCAUCUUCGUCCUGCAGGGCUGGACGAUCGUCGCCGUGCCGCUGCCGCACUCCCUGGAGGUGUGGA